GACGUAGGAUGCGAGCGUUAUUCGGAUUUAUUGGGCGUAAAGCGUGCGUAGGCGGCUGUUUAAGUCUGGUGUUAAAGCUAGGGGCUCAACCCCUGUGGUGCAUCGGAUACUGGGCAGCUUGAGUGCGGUAGGGGAAGGUGGAAUUCCGAGUGUAGCGGUGAAAUGCGUAGAUAUUCGGAAGGACACCGGUGGCGAAGGCGACCUUCUGGGCCGCAACUGACGCUGAGGCACGAAAGCCUGGGGAGCGAACGGG
rnacentral:rRNA from 1 species